GAUAAACGCUGGCGGCGCACAUAAGACAUGCAAGUCGAACGAACUUAACUCAUUCUUUUAGUUUGAGAGCGGUUAGUGGCGGACUGGUGAGUAACACGUAAGCAACCUGCCUAUUAGAGGGGAAUAACAGUGAGAAAUCAUUGCUAAUACCGCAUAUGCUAACAGUAUCGCAUGAUACAGUUAGGAAAGGAGUAAUCCGCUAAUAGAUGGGCUUGCGUCUGAUUAGAUAGUUGGUGGGGUAACGGCCUACCAAGUCGACGAUCAGUAGCCGGACUGAGAGGUUGAACGGCCACAUUGGGACUGAGAUACGGCCCAGACUCCUACGGGAGGCAGCAGUCGGGAAUAUUGCGCAAUGGAGGAAACUCUGACGCAGUGACGCCGCGUAUAGGAAGAAGGUUUUCGGAUUGUAAACUAUUGUCGUUAGGGAAGAUACAAGACAGUACCUAAGGAGGAAGCCCCGGCUAACUAUGUGCCAGCAGCCGC
rnacentral:rRNA from 1 species